rnacentral:lncRNA from 1 species
CACUCCAUAGCUGACCUGAGCUGCUGGACUUGGGACAGGGCUUUGCAGGGUGUUACCUCUUAGCGGUCUGAGCGUCAGGCUGGCUGUUGAAUGCAGAGGUGAUGGACUCCUGUCCCAGCUCCCUUGUACAGAUUCUGGGGGUGACCCAGGUACUCCAGAGUGUGCUGAGUAUUCUUGGAGAGGCAGAACACCAAGCCCACCUAUUCCAAGGUCUGGUGACGGCCACCGGGGCGGAAACCAGACCGAGACACCCCCUCCCCUGUGGGGUUAGUACCUGCUUCCGGCCUCCCAAGACUUCCCUGGUGGCUCAGACGGUAAAGCGUCUGCCUACAACGCGGGAGACCUGGGUUCGAUCCCUGGGUGGGGUAGAUCCUCUGGGGAAGGAAAUGGCAACCCACUCUAGUACUCUUGCCUGGAAAAAUCCCAUGGAUGGAGGAGCCUGGUAGGCUACAGUCCAUAGGGUCGCAGAGUUGGACACGACUGAGCUACUUCACUUCACUUGACUUCCGGCCUCCCAGCGCUCAACUUCCUGGGAGGCCCCCCACCUGCUUCUGCGCUCUGCCUUCCGUUUCCUUUCUAAGGCGAUCCUGGUUUUAAGCAGUUUCCUGUGUGAGAAGGUCGGCUGGGGCACGCGACCCCGUGUGAUUAUGUAGGGCCAGGUGGAGGGCAGGUGGGUUCCGGAGGACACGGUCCCUGCCCCGCUGCUGUCAUGAUCUGAGAAGUGGCCACCGAGCAAAAACGGAAUUGAGCAAAACGCCCGGAAAUUUGGUUCCUCAGAUAGGGACUGAAUUUGUAAACGUAUGGGAGACGCUGCCAAGGGCAGUGACUCCAGAAUGGGGCCAGGAAACCUUUCCUCAUGGAGACUGAACAGUUGAUCCAGUUAUCUUUUCAGUGGGGACUUUUUUCGGCGGUUGGGUAGGGGGGGCUUGGGUCCUUGGUCAUAUUGUAGCUUUAAUAAAGACGGUGCCUGG